UUGUUUCCAGUUUUUCUCUGUAACGAGCAGCAUGCACUGAAAAGAAAAAAAAAAAAAAAACCCUAUGACUCCACUGAUGAAUCUAUUUCCUUCCGAGAAAUUCUCAGACACGGAAUUGCUGGGCCAGAAGGACGCACAUUUCCAGGACUUGGAUAGGCAUUGCCAGAUUGCCCUCCUGGGAGGUCGUACCUAACUCCACCCACCACGGUGGAGUCAGCGUUUCUCUCUCCCCGCUGACACCUGCAGGUGGAGAUCCACAGGCUUAGAACUCACUCCAGCUGUCAGUCCUGCAGCCGGACCCCUGAGGGCUGCAGGAAUCAAGUUCCUCCCCUUCCUUGCCCCACCCCGAAGCGCCUGAGAGAGCCCGUCUGCCAGGCAAGGCCAGGGUCUCCAUGCCAACCCUGUGAGGCCACCCGCAGACCCUGACCUCCUCCCCUUCCACGCAGGCGCCUGAUGUCUCUCCUUGAGGCCUGUAGCCCACACCUCGUGACGGGACAGCGAGCUUCUGAGUUAUCGGCAGCCUUAUUUCCCUCUACAGCUCCUACGGCGUUAACAGAUGUACGCACGUCUGAGGCAGUCAUGCGGCAAGAGACUUUGGGGCCAAUCCUUCCCGUUUUGACAGUGUGUAAUCGAGGUGAAGCCAUAAAUUUUAUAAACAAGAAUAAACGACCCUCAGCAACAUAUGUCUGCUCGACCCUUCCAAGAUGAAGAAGCAAGUCCAAGGAAGAUGGGACAACUUGCCCAGAGUCGCGAUGCUAGGAAGUAACAGAGCUGGUCUUGGACCCAGGUCUGCCCGAAGCUGACGCCCAUGCUGAGUGUUCGACUGCUGCCUGCACUCCAGUGCUCCUCACUCCACGAGCCUGGGGCUCCGCAGAGCCAGCAGUGAGGCGGCUGGAGCAGGCAGCCCUGUGCGCCGAUUCACUCCUGAAGGAGAGGAUGCACAGAGCCUUCAUCAGAAGUUUGUGAAUCUGCGGAGUGGGAGAGCACCGGGACACCCCCAGAGUUCCUGGGUGUCC